rnacentral:rRNA from 1 species
UACGAAGGGGGCUAGCGUUGCUCGGAAUUACUGGGCGUAAAGCGCGCGUAGGCGGACCUGCAAGUCGGGGGUGAAAGCCCGAGGCUCAACCUCGGAACUGCCUUCGAUAUGGCGGGUCUCGAGUCCGGGAGAGGUGAGUGGAAUUCCUAGUGUAGAGGUGAAAUUCGUAGAUAUUAGGAAGAACACCAGUGGCGAAGGCGGCUCACUGGCCCGGUACUGACGCUGAGGCGCGAAAGCGUGGGGAGCAAACAGG